rnacentral:rRNA from 1 species
UUUAAAUGGCCGCAGUACCUUGACUGUGCUAAGGUAGCAUAAUCAAUUGGCUUCUAAUUAAAGUCUGGAAUGAAAGGAAAAAUGAGGUAGUUCUGUCUUAAGGAAUUUUUUUUGAAUUUAUUUAAAUGAUGAAAAUAUCAUUUUUUAGAAAAAAGACGAGAAGACCCUUAGAGUUUAAUUUUUUUUUGUUGGGGCGACAAGUAAACAUUAAACUUUACUAGUUAAUAAAUCGAUUUUUUAUAAGAAUAAUUAAACUACCUUAGGGAUAACAGCAUUAUAUUUUUUUAUGAUUGUGACCUC